CCUGAGCGACCCAACCUCCUGCCCCAUUCCUGGACAUGGCACACCCGCCAUCACGUCGGCUCCCCGGAUGU
rnacentral:sRNA from 1 species